rnacentral:rRNA from 1 species
AUUGGACGCUGGCGGCAUGCCUUACACAUGCAAGUCGAACGGCAGCGGGGACUUCGGUCCGCCGGCGAGUGGCGAACGGGUGAGUAAUGUAUCGGAACGUACCAUUGAGUGGGGGAUAACUAUCCGAAAGGAUAGCUAAUACCGCAUAUUCUCUCCGGAGGAAAGCAGGGGACCGCAAGGCCUUGCGCUCAUUGAGCGGCCGAUAUCAGAUUAGCUAGUUGGUGAGGUAAAGGCUCACCAAGGCGACGAUCUGUAGCGGGUCUGAGAGGAUGAUCCGCCACACUGGAACUGAGACACGGUCCAGACUCCUACGGGAGGCAGCAGUGGGGAAUUUUGGACAAUGGGGGCAACCCUGAUCCAGCCAUGCCGCGUGAGUGAAGAAGGCCUUCGGGUUGUAAAGCUCUUUCGGCCGGGAAAAAAUCGCAUGGGUUAAUACCCUGUGUGGAUGAUGGUACCGGAAUAAGAAGCACCGGCUAACUACGUGCCAGCCGCCGCAGUAAAAC